CCGUGCUAGAUGGGGAGCCAGCGGUGCCCUGUUACCCACAAUCCGCUAUAGUGGGAUUGAAUUCCCUGUCGAGGCUGUACUUUUUCUGAACUGUGUCCUUGUAAGUGGUGUUGAAGGUUAGGGCCCUGUGCGAAGAGUUCUUUGUGAAACCCGUCAGGACCGGGAGGUAGCAGCGGUAGCAGAGUUGCUUCUUGUGCGGCAGGUUAGUCUUGCCUGAGCUAACUGCAGGGAUAACGCAGGGGAAGGAUAGUCGGAGCAGGGUGCACGG
rnacentral:SRP_RNA from 1 species